rnacentral:rRNA from 1 species
AGAGUUUGAUCCUGGCUCAGGAUGAACGCUGGCGGUAUGCCUAACACAUGCAAGUCGAACGAACUCUUCGGAGAAAGUGGCGGACGGGUGAGUAACACGUAAGAAUCUGCCUUUUGGUCGGGGAUAACAGUGGGAAACCACUGCUAAUACCGGAUGAGCUGAGAAGUAAAAGAUUUAUUGCCAAAAGAGGAGCUUGCGUCUGAUUAGCUAGAUGGUGGGGUAAGAGCGUACCAUGGCAACGAUCAGUAGCUGGUCUGAGAGGAUGAUCAGCCACAUUGGGACUGAGACACGGCCCAGACUCCUACGGGAGGCAGCAGUGAGGAAUUUUCCGCAAUGGGCGAAAGCCUGACGGAGCAACGCCGCGUGAGGGAUGAAGGCCUCUGGGCUGUAAACCUCUUUUCUCAAGGAAGAAGAUCUGACGGUACUUGAGGAAUAAGCCACGGCUAAUUCCGUGCCAGCAGCCGCGGUAAUACGGGAGUGGCAAGCGUUAUCCGGAAUUAUUGGGCGUAAAGCGUCCGCAGGCGGCCCUUCAAGUCUGCUGUUAAAACGUGGAGCUUAACUCCAUCAUGGCAGUGGAAACUGUUGGGCUUGAGUGUGGUAGGGGCAGAGGGAAUUCCCGGUGUAGCGGUGAAAUGCGUAGAUAUCGGGAAGAACACCAGUGGCGAAGGCGCUCUGCUGGGCCAUAACUGACGCUCAUGGACGAAAGCCAGGGGAGCGAAAGGGAUUAGAUACCCCUGUAGUCCUGGCCGUAAACGAUGAACACUAGGUGUCGGGGGAAUCGACCCCCUCGGUGUCGUAGCCAACGCGUUAAGUGUUCCGCCUGGGGAGUACGCACGCAAGUGUGAAACUCAAAGGAAUUGACGGGGGCCCGCACAAGCGGUGGAGUAUGUGGUUUAAUUCGAUGCAACGCGAAGAACCUUACCAGGGUUUGACAUCCUGCGAAUCUCUUGGAAACGAGAGAGUGCCUUCGGGAACGCAGUGACAGGUGGUGCAUGGCUGUCGUCAGCUCGUGUCGUGAGAUGUUGGGUUAAGUCCCGCAACGAGCGCAACCCACGUCGUUAGUUGCCAGCAUCUAGUUGGGCACUCUAGCGAGACCGCCGGUGAUAAACCGGAGGAAGGUGUGGAUGACGUCAAGUCAUCAUGCCCCUUACAUCCUGGGCUACACACGUACUACAAUGCUACGGACAAAGGGCAGCAAACUCGCGAGAGCUAGCAAAUCCCAUAAACCGUGGCUCAGUUCAGAUCGUAGGCUGCAACUCGCCUACGUGAAGGAGGAAUCGCUAGUAAUCGCAGGUCAGCAUACUGCGGUGAAUACGUUCCCGGGCCUUGUACACACCGCCCGUC